GACGAACGCUGGCGGCGUGCUUAACACAUGCAAGUCGAACGGAAAGGCCCUGCUUUUGUGGGGUGCUCGAGUGGCGAACGGGUGAGUAACACGUGAGUAACCUGCCCUUGACUUUGGGAUAACUUCAGGAAGCUGGGGCUAAUACCGGAUAGGAGCUCCUGCUGCAUGGGGGGGGUUGGAAAGUUUCGGCGGUUGGGGAUGGACUCGCGGCUUAUCAGCUUGUUGGUGGGGUAGUGGCUUACCAAGGCUUUGACGGGUAGCCGGCCUGGGAGGGUGACCGGCCACAUUGGGACUGAGAUACGGCCCAGACUCCUACGGGAGGCAGCAGUGGGGAAUAUUGCACAAUGGGCGGAAGCCUGAUGCAGCAACGCCGCGUGCGGGAUGACGGCCUUCGGGUUGUAAACCGCUUUCGCCUGUGACGAAGCGUGAGUGACGGUAAUGGGUAAAGAAGCACCGGCUAACUACGUG
rnacentral:rRNA from 1 species